rnacentral:rRNA from 1 species
CAGCAGCCGCGGUAAUACGAAGGGGGCUAGCGUUGUUCGGAUUUACUGGGCGUAAAGGGUGCGUAAGCGGAUUGUUAAGUCAGGGGUGAAAUCCCGAGGCUCAACCUCGGAACUGCCUUUGAUACUGGCGAUCUUGAGUCCGGGAGAGGUGAGUGGAACUGCGAGUGUAGAGGUGAAAUUCGUAGAUAUUCGCAAGAACACCGGUGGCGAAGGCGGCUCACUGGCCCGGAACUGACGCUGAGGCACGAAAGCGUGGGGAGCAAACAGGAUUAGAUACCCCCGUAGUCCCUGUCUCUUAUAC